rnacentral:rRNA from 1 species
CUACGGGUGGCAGCAGUGAGGAAUAUUGCACAAUGGGGGGAACCCUGAUGCAGCAACGCCGCGUGGAGGAUGACGCAUUUCGGUGUGUAAACUCCUUUUAUAUGUCAAGAAAAUGACGGUAGCAUAUGAAUAGGCACCGGCUAACUCCGUGCUAGCAGCCGCGGUAAUACGGAGGGUGCAAGCGUUACUCGGAAUCACUGGGCGUAAAGGACGCGUAGGCGGGUUGGAAAGUCAGGUGUGAAAUCCUACAGCUUAACUGUAGAACUGCACUUGAAACUUCUAAUCUAGAGUAUGGGAGGGGGAGAUGGAAUUAGUGGUGUAGGGGUAAAAUCCGUAGAUAUCACCAGGAAUACCUAAAGCGAAGGCGAUCUCCUGGAACAUUACUGACGCUAAGGCGUGAAAGCGUGGGGAGCAAACAGGAUUAGAUACCCCCGUAGUC